AUUGAACGCUGGCGGCAGGCCUAACACAUGCAAGUCGAACGGUAGCACAGAGAGCUUGCUCUCGGGUGACGAGUGGCGGACGGGUGAGUAAUGUCUGGGAAACUGCCCGAUGGAGGGGGAUAACUACUGGAAACGGUAGCUAAUACCGCAUAAUGUCGCAAGACCAAAGAGGGGGACCUUCGGGCCUCUUGCCAUCGGAUGUGCCCAGAUGGGAUUAGCUAGUUGGUGAGGUAAUGGCUCACCAAGGCGACGAUCCCUAGCUGGUCUGAGAGGAUGACCAGCCACACUGGAACUGAGACACGGUCCAGACUCCUACGGGAGGCAGCAGUGGGGAAUAUUGCACAAUGGGCGCAAGCCUGAUGCAGCCAUGCCGCGUGUAUGAAGAAGGCCUUCGGGUUGUAAAGUACUUUCAGCGGGGAGGAAGGCAAUGCGGUUAAUAACCCUGUUGAUUGACGUUACCCGCAGAAGAAGCACCGGCUAACUCCGUG
rnacentral:rRNA from 1 species